rnacentral:rRNA from 1 species
UCUGGUGAUUAAAUACAGGGGCUACACCUCUUCCCAUUCCGAACAGAGAAGUUAAGGCCUGUAUCACUGAUGGUACUGCAUGGGAAGCUGUGCGGGAGAGUAGGUUUUACCAGAA